rnacentral:rRNA from 1 species
AUUGAACGCUGGCGGCAUGCCUUACACAUGCAAGUCGGACGGUAGCACAGAGAGCUUGCUCUCGGGUGACGAGUGGCGGACGGGUGAGUAAUGUCUGGGGAUCUGCCCGAUAGAGGGGGAUAACCACUGGAAACGGUGGCUAAUACCGCAUAACGUCGCAAGACCAAAGAGGGGGACCUUCGGGCCUCUCACUAUCGGAUGAACCCAGAUGGGAUUAGCUAGUAGGCGGGGUAAUGGCCCACCUAGGCGACGAUCCCUAGCAGGUCUGAGAGGAUGACCAGCCACACUGGAACUGAGACACGGUCCAGACUCCUACGGGAGGCAGCAGUGGGGAAUAUUGCACAAUGGGCGCAAGCCUGAUGCAGCCAUGCCGCGUGUAUGAAGAAGGCCUUCGGGUUGUAAAGUACUUUCAGCGGGGAGGAAGGCGAUGUGGUUAAUAACCGCGUCGAUUGACGUUACCCGCAGAAGAAGCACCGGCUAACUCCGUGCCAGCAGCCGCGGUAA